rnacentral:rRNA from 1 species
AUUGAACGCUGGCGGCGUGCUUAACACAUGCAAGUCGAUCGGUAACAGGUGUAGCAAUACAUGCUGACGAGAGGCGGACGGGUGAGUAAUGCUUGGGAAUCUGCCUAUUAGUGGGGGACGAACCCGGGGAAACGUCGGGCUAAUACCGCAUACGCUCUACGGAGGAAAGCCGGGGACCGGCAAGGCCUGGCGCUAAUAGAUGAGCCCAAGUCGGAUUAGCUAGUUGGUAGGGUAACGGCCUACCAAGGCGACAAUCCGUAGCUGGUCUGAGAGGACGACCAGCCACACCGGAACUGAGACACGGUCCGGACU